rnacentral:rRNA from 1 species
CCUACGGGAGGCAGCAGUAGGGAAUCUUCCACAAUGGGCGAAAGCCUGAUGGAGCAACGCCGCGUGGGUGAAGAAGGUCUUCGGAUCGUAAAACCCUGUUGUUAGAGAAGAAAGUGCGUGAGAGUAACUGUUCACGUUUCGACGGUAUCUAACCAGAAAGCCACGGCUAACUACGUGCCAGCAGCCGCGGUAAUACGUAGGUGGCAAGCGUUAUCCGGAUUUAUUGGGCGUAAAGGGAACGCGGGCGGUCUUUUAAGGCUGAUGUGAAAGCCUUCGGCUUAACCGGAGUAGUGCAUUGGAAACUGGGAGACUGGAGUGCAGAAGAGGAGAGUGGAACUCCAUGUGUAGCGGUGAAAUGCGUAGAUAUAUGGAAGAACCCCAGUGGCGAAAGCGGCUCUCUGGCUUGUAACUGACGCUGAGGUUCGAAAGCGUGGGUAGCAAACAGGAUUAGAUACCCGAGUAGUC